UACGGAGGGUGCAAGCGUUAUCCGGAUUCACUGGGUUUAAAGGGUGCGUAGGUGGGCAGGUAAGUCAGUGGUGAAAUCUCCAGGCUUAACCCGGAAACUGCCAUUGAUACUAUCAGUCUUGAAUACCGUGGAGGUAAGCGGAAUAUGUCAUGUAGCGGUGAAAUGCUUAGAUAUGACAUAGAACACCAAUUGCGAAGGCAGCUUACUACCCGAAUAUUGACACUGAGGCACGAAAGCGUGGGGAUCAAACAGG
rnacentral:rRNA from 1 species